UUUAGGCGACAGCUGUCGCCCUAAGGAUAUAUUUCUGUCGCCUAAAUAUCUGCAUGUCACAACUAUGUUCAUUUUCCUUAAUAACUAUCCCAAACUAGAUGGUUGGAUAGAGGGUCAUCUCAGGACCUUCGGGUGUGCUUCUUUUGUAUUUUUAUAAAAUUUCAGUGCUGUUAUUGAAAAAACAAAAAUAUGAUGUAUAUAACGUCUGCGACCUUUCGGCGACACGGGGUUUUCUAUAAAAUUCUCUAACACAUGGAUAUAUGUUCAGAAAUAAACAAUGGAGAAAUUAUUGUCUAAAUAUAUGCUCUUAGGUUUUGUACAUUUUUUUCAAAUAUACACAUCGUUAAGUGUUCAGCAUAAUAUCACUGUUUCCCUCGCAGUACCUUUCGGCGAUUUUCCUUCACGCUCCUGUGCGUCAAAAACGUGAAAGUUCAAAAGCGGCAACGUCGAAAUGAACACUUAGCUAAUAAUUCAAUAACGUCUGUAGAUAUUGUGGGAGCUGACAGACAAGACUAACAUGCCACCAAGAAAACGUUUAAAUACUUAAAACAUUUGAUUCUUUGAUCAAAAUAACAAUGUAAUAAUUUGUAAAUAAAUUGAAUUCAUGUUUCACACGAAGGCCCGUUCACGUUUUGUGUCAAAUCGGAUCCCGUUUGCUACAGUUUUCGCGCACUACACGAGGUGACUUGGCAGCACAAAGCAUUGGGAAAUGCAUGAGACUAAUUGCUAGUCUUGGAUGGUCCUGUUAGACAUGGAAAUCCUAUCCAAUCCAGUUUAUGCCCGGUAAGUUAAUUUUAUUUUACAAUGGUUUCUGAAUAUGAAACAUUGUAAAUUCAUAAUUUAUGUAUGUUGUUAGGGUGAUAACUAAAUCAUGUAGAAUUUUAAAUACUUUAUCAGUUCAGAAGAAAAAAUAUUAUUUCUUAAGCUCAGUUUUGAAUUUAAGUUCAUAAUCAUUUUGAGAAUAAUAUUGUUAACAUUUUAAUGUUACAUAAUACAGACAACUAUGAACGGGACCAAGACACGUUGAGCUUGGCAGAGGAGAAAUGUGACCUUCAAAUUGCAGAAUCCGAGGGGGAGUCUCAGGCAUUCCAAAGGGAGGAAGGGGAUUCAGAUGUAGUAUCUGUGAGAAAGUACUGAAAUGUAAAGGUGGAUAUACUGUUCAUCAGCAGAUGACUUGAAGUCAAAAGGUACCACCAGUUUUUAGUAGUGUCUUUCUAGAUAUCAAGAUAAGUGAACACCAAUAACAUAUCAUAUCGUUAUACAAGGUCAAGA